GUGAGGAAUAUUGGUCAAUGGGCGGGAGCCUGAACCAGCCAAGUCGCGUGAAGGAAGAAGGAUCUAUGGUUCGUAAACUUCUUUUGCAGGGGAAUAAAGUGCAGGACGUGUCCUGUUUUGUAUGUACCCUGAGAAUAAGGAUCGGCUAACUCCGUGCCAGCAGCCGCGGUAAUACGGAGGAUCCGAGCGUUAUCUGGAUUUAUUGGGUUUAAAGGGUGCGUAGGUGGUUUGAUAAGUCAGCGGUGAAAGUUUGCAGCUUAACUGUAAAAAUGCCGUUGAAACUGUCGGACUUGAGUGUAAAUGAGGUAGGCGGAAUGCGUGGUGUAGCGGUGAAAUGCAUAGAUAUCACGCAGAACUCCGAUUGCGAAGGCAGCUUACUAAGCUACAACUGACACUGAAGCACGAAAGCGUGGGGAUCAAACAGGAUUAGAAACCCGUGUAGUCC
rnacentral:rRNA from 1 species